rnacentral:rRNA from 1 species
AGACCCGAAACCCGGUGAUCUAGCCAUGGGCAGGUUGAAGGUUGGGUAACACUAACUGGAGGACCGAACCGACUAAUGUUGAAAAAUUAGCGGAUGACCUGUGGCUGGGGGUGAAAGGCCAAUCAAACCGGGAGAUAGCUGGUUCUCCCCGAAAGCUAUUUAGGUAGCGCCUCGUGAAUUCAUCUCCGGGGGUAGAGCACUGUUUCGGCUAGGGGGCCAUCCCGGCUUACCAACCCGAUGCAAACUGCGAAUACCGGAGAAUGUUAUCACGGGAGACACACGGCGGGUGCUAACGUCCGUCGUGAAGAGGGAAACAACCCAGACCGCCAGCUAAGGUCCCAAAGUCAUGGUUAAGUGGGAAACGAUGUGGGAAGGCCCAGACAGCCAGGAUGUUGGCUUAGAAGCAGCCAUCAUUUAAAGAAAGCGUAAUAGCUCACUGGUCGAGUCGGCCUGCGCGGAAGAUGUAACGGGGCUAAACCAUGCACCGAAGCUGCGGCAGCGACGCUUAUGCGUUGUUGGGUAGGGGAGCGUUCUGUAAGCCUGUGAAGGUGGCCUGUGAGGGUUGCUGGAGGUAUCAGAAGUGCGAAUGCUGACAUAAGUAACGAUAAAGCGGGUGAAAAGCCCGCUCGCCGGAAGACCAAGGGUUCCUGUCCAACGUUAAUCGGGGCAGGGUGAGUCGACCCCUAAGGCGAGGCCGAAAGGCGUAGUCGAUGGGAAACGGGUUAAUAUUCCCGUACUUGGUGUUACUGCGAAGGGGGGACGGAGAAGGCUAUGUUGGCCGGGCGACGGUUGUCCCGGUUUAAGCGUGUAGGUGUGUGUUCCAGGUAAAUCCGGUUCACUUUAACACUGAGGCGUGACGACGAGGCACUACGGUGCUGAAGCAACAAAUGCCCUGCUUCCAGGAAAAGCCUCUAAGCAUCAGGUAACAUCAAAUCGUACCCCAAACCGACACAGGUGGUCAGGUAGAGAAUACCAAGGCGCUUGAGAGAACUCGGGUGAAGGAACUAGGCAAAAUGGUGCCGUAACUUCGGGAGAAGGCACGCUGACACGUAGGUGAAGUGAUUUACUCAUGGAGCUGAAGUCAGUCGAAGAUACCAGCUGGCUGCAACUGUUUAUUAAAAACACAGCACUGUGCAAACACGAAAGUGGACGUAUACGGUGUGACGCCUGCCCGGUGCCGGAAGGUUAAUUGAUGGGGUCAGCGCAAGCGAAGCUCCUGAUCGAAGCCCCGGUAAACGGCGGCCGUAACUAUAACGGUCCUAAGGUAGCGAAAUUCCUUGUCGGGUAAGUUCCGACCUGCACGAAUGGCGUAAUGAUGGCCAGGCUGUCUCCACCCGAGACUCAGUGAAAUUGAACUCGCUGUGAAGAUGCAGUGUACCCGCGGCAAGACGGAAAGACCCCGUGAACCUUUACUAUAGCUUGACACUGAACAUUGAGCCUUGAUGUGUAGGAUAGGUGGGAGGCUUUGAAGUGUGGACGCCAGUCUGCAUGGAGCCGACCUUGAAAUACCACCCUUUAAUGUUUGAUGUUCUAACGUGGACCCGUAAUCCGGGUUGCGGACAGUGUCUGGUGGGUAGUUUGACUGGGGCGGUCUCCUCCUAAAGAGUAACGGAGGAGCACGAAGGUUGGCUAAUCCUGGUCGGACAUCAGGAGGUUAGUGCAAUGGCAUAAGCCAGCUUGACUGCGAGCGUGACGGCGCGAGCAGGUGCGAAAGCAGGUCAUAGUGAUCCGGUGGUUCUGAAUGGAAGGGCCAUCGCUCAACGGAUAAAAGGUACUCCGGGGAUAACAGGCUGAUACCGCCCAAGAGUUCAUAUCGACGGCGGUGUUUGGCACCUCGAUGUCGGCUCAUCACAUCCUGGGGCUGAAGUAGGUCCCAAGGGUAUGGCUGUUCGCCAUUUAAAGUGGUACGCGAGCUGGGUUUAGAACGUCGUGAGACAGUUCGGUCCCUAUCUGCCGUGGGCGCUGGAGAACUGAGGGGGGCUGCUCCUAGUACGAGAGGACCGGAGUGGACGCAUCACUGGUGUUCGGGUUGUCAUGCCAAUGGCACUGCCCGGUAGCUAAAUGCGGAAGAGAUAAGUGCUGAAAGCAUCUAAGCACGAAACUUGCCCCGAGAUGAGUUCUCCCUGAGACUUUA